rnacentral:rRNA from 1 species
UACGUAGGGUGCGAGCGUUGCCCGGAUUUAUUGGGCGUAAAGAGCGCGCAGGCGGCCGAGUAAGUCGAAUGUGAAAGCCCCCGGCUCAACUGGGGAAGGUCAUUCGAUACUGUUCGGCUCGAAGAUAGGAGAGGGAAGCGGAAUUUCAGGUGUAGUGGUGAAAUGCGUAGAUAUCUGAAGGAACACCAGUGGCGAAGGCGGCUUUCUGGCCUAUUCUUGACGCUGAGGCGCGAAAGCUAGGGGAGCGAACGGG